rnacentral:rRNA from 1 species
AACGAACGCUGGCGGCAGGCUUAACACAUGCAAGUCGAACGCAUCCUUCGGGGUGAGUGGCAGACGGGUGAGUAACGCGUGGGAACGUGCCCUUCAGUUCGGGAUAACCCAGGGAAACUUGGGCUAAUACCGGAUACGUGCGAGAGCAGAAAGAUUUAUCGCUGAAGGGCAUCGGCCCGCGUCUGAUUAGCUAGUUGGUGGGGUAAUGGCCCACCAAGGCGACGAUCAGUAGCUGGUCUGAGAGGGUGAUCAGCCACAUUGGGACUGAGACACGGCCCAAACUCCUACGGGAGGCGGCAGUGGGGAAUAUUGGACAAUGGGCGCAAGCCUGAUCCAGCCAUGCCGCGUGAGUGAUGAAGGCCUUAGGGUUGUAAAGCUCUUUCGUCCGGGACGAUAAUGACGGUACCGGAAGAAGAAGCCCCGGCUAACUUCGUGCCAGCCGCCGCCGUAA